rnacentral:sRNA from 1 species
GCUGGGUGUAGUGGUGCACGCCUGUCAUCCCAAUGGCUAGGGAGGCUGAGGCAGGAGGAUGGUGAGUUCAAAGCCAGCCUCAGCAACUUAGUGAGGCCCUAAGCAACUCAGGGAGACCCUGUCUCUA